rnacentral:rRNA from 1 species
UUGGUCAGGUUGAAGUUCAGGUAACACUGAAUGGAGGACCGAACCGACUUACGUUGAAAAGUGAGCGGAUGAACUGAGGGUAGCGGAGAAAUUCCAAUCGAACCUGGAGAUAGCUGGUUCUCUCCGAAAUAGCUUUAGGGCUAGCCUCAAGUGAUGAUUAUUGGAGGUAGAGCACUGUUUGGACGAGGGGCCCCUCUCGGGUUACCGAAUUCAGACAAACUCCGAAUGCCAAUUAAUUUAACUUGGGAGUCAGAACAUGGGUGAUAAGGUCCGUGUUCGAAAGGGAAACAGCCCAGACCACCAGCUAAGGUCCCAAAAUAUAUGUUAAGUGGAAAAGGAUGUGGCGUUGCCCAGACAACUAGGAUGUUGGCUUAGAAGCAGCCAUCAUUUAAAGAGUGCGUAAUAGCUCACUAGUCGAGUGACACUGCGCCGAAAAUGUACCGGGGCUAAACAUAUUACCGAAGCUGUGGAUUGUCCUUUGGACAAUGGUAGGAGAGCGUUCU